rnacentral:tRNA from 1 species
UAAUAAGAAGCGAUUUAUUGCAAUUAGUUUCGACCUAAUCUUAGAUAUUUUUUAUCCUUAUUUU